rnacentral:misc_RNA from 1 species
AUCAGUUUCCACCUACCAUUUUUUAGUUUCAAUAACCUUCCCCUGCCUUUUCAACCCAAUUGAAGGUUGGAUCCACCCUCACCCUCUUUGGUUGGUUGCGUGGUUUGUUGAUCUACCAGACUUGUGUCUAAGGGAGGGUUUUAGGGCAGAUCAACAAAGAUGGUUCAGUUUCUAUUUAGGGGUUUCUCUCGUCUGCUGGCAUCAAAGGCAGUGAUGGUCUCAUACGAUGGCUAUCUUCAUCUCCACAGGGUUAAAUGAGAAUGAGAUGCCCGUCAACAAAGCCUUCACUGGUUCAGUCUGGCACUGGUUCUUAGCCCUAGGUUGUCUUGAGCUUUGCUAUAUAGUUGGCCGACUCCCUCUCCCUCUGAGAAGCAAGGUUCUCUAGCCGGAUCCACAGGGGUGCAUGUCUUUCCAUUGUUUGUACCGAGCUCCUUAUGUGCUUUCCUUUGUUUCACAUACACCUCCACCAUGGAAGACAACAUUGGUGUGAUAAGGAAGAUGGAACUGUUGUGUUAGGGAGGUCGGAGUUUCGAGUUGUAACCCAUUUCUCCUAGGGCCUUCAUUCGGAUCCUUGUAUCUUGAUUUUGGGUUUGGAUCUGAGUUUGAGUUUGUAGCAAAAUUUUCUUUUGGGCUUCAGGCCCUUAAAAUCGUAA